CCUUUGAGCAGCCCCAGCUGAUGGAGCUGUCCUGCCAAGCCCUGCCCAAAGAGGAAGAGACUUGCAUUAUCUCAGAAGACACUUUGGACUUGGACUUUUGGAUUAAUGGUGGCACGAGAAAAUAUUUCAAGAGCGACAGAAGAGGUAACAACAAGAUGUGAAAGGAACUAAAAGCAAUUCAGCCGCCACCAGAGCAAUUCACAAAGGUCAGUUCUAUUCAGUAACACGAUACAUUCUUAUAAAAUACAACACGUGCAUAAAAAUAGAAGACAGUCUACUUGUUUCUGAAUGUAUGGAAAGACCCUUUGGUUAUAUAUUAUAAAUUACUUACCAUUUUCACUUUGUAUUGUUCCAGAUUUAACAUAAUUGAUAAAUGUAUUUUUAGGAUUCAUGAAUAGUUUUGUGGGAGUUAUUCAGUUCAGGAAAAGGUAAAUUGGAAAUUUUACCUAGAAAUAUAAAUCUUGUGUAUAAAAUUGAUACUUUAUGAACACAUUAAUGAGACAUUUUCAGUUUUUAGGAGAUCAGCGACAAAUCUUUAGUGGAAGUCAGGAGUCCAUAAAUCCUUUCUGGAUGUCUUUUUUACUUGUUUUGUUUCAACAGUUUUAGUUAAAUAGGAAGUAGGCAAGUGUUAACUACUAAGUGUCUCUUUUAUUUCCUGCUGUAAUGUAGGAGUGUUUUAUGGCAUACUCACUUUCCAAAUUAUAGUGACUAGUAAUGGUUUUAUAUGACAAUUUGUAAUCAUAAGAGAUGGUUCUGAUGUAUAACAGAAUGGGAAAGCCAGCAGAUUAUUAACACAUUGUAAAUUGGGAAUUACCUGCUGUCGUACAGCACAUUAGCAAAUUGUCAUCAGACAAUGACCUCUUCUUCAUGUAGAUGUAUAUUAUUUAGGAGACAAUGGAAUUUUCUUUUGACAGGUAUUCUUUUUAAUAACCUUGAGAAAAGACAUGUUCAUAUGUCAUUCCUCUACACUAACUGAGA